rnacentral:rRNA from 1 species
UACGUAGGGGGCAAGCGUUGUCCGGAUUUACUGGGCGUAAAGCGUGCGCAGGCGGUUUUGUAAGUCUGUCGUGAAAGCCCCGGGCUCAACCUGGGAAUUGCGAUGGAGACUGCAAGGCUUGAAUCUGGCAGAGGGGGGUAGAAUUCCACGUGUAGCAGUGAAAUGCGUAGAGAUGUGGAGGAACACCGAUGGCGAAGGCAGCCCCCUGGGUCAAGAUUGACGCUCAUGCACGAAAGCGUGGGGAGCAAACAGG